GACGGAGGGUGCAAGCGUUGUUCGGAAUCACUGGGCGUAAAGCGCGUGUAGGCGGUUUGAUAAGUCGAAUGUGAAAGCCCGAGGCUCAACCUCGGAAGUGCAUUCGAAACUGUCAGGCUUGAGAACGGGAGAGGGAAGUGGAAUUCCUGGUGUAGAGGUGAAAUUCGUAGAUAUCAGGAGGAACACCGGUGGCGAAGGCGGCUUCCUGGACCGAUACUGCCGCUGAGACGCGAAAUCGUGGGGAGCAAACAGG
rnacentral:rRNA from 1 species